CAAUAUAAGUGAUGGCGACCGGCGCACGGGUGAGUAACACGUAUCCAACCUGCCGAUAACUCGGGGAUAGCCUUUCGAAAGAAAGAUUAAUACCCGAUGGUAUAAUAAAACCGCAUGGUUUAAUUAUUAAAGAAUUUCGGUUAUCGAUGGGGAUGCGUUCCAUUAGGCAGUUGGUAAGGCAACGGCUCACCAAACCUUCGAUGGAUAGGGGUUCUGAGAGGAAGGUCCCCCACAUUGGAACUGAGACACGGUCCAA
rnacentral:rRNA from 1 species